UACGUAGGGUGCAGGCGUUAAUCGGAAUUACUGGGCGUAAAGCGUGCGCAGGCGGUUUGCUAAGACAGGUGUGAAAUCCCCGGGCUUAACCUGGGAACUGCGCUUGUAACUGGCAAGCUGGAGUGUGGCAGAGGGGGGUGGAAUUCCACGUGUAGCAGUGGAAUGCGUAGAGAUGUGGAGGAACACCGAUGGCGAAGGCAGCCCCCUGGGCUAACACUGACGCUCAUGCACGAAAGCGUGGGGAGCAAACAGG
rnacentral:rRNA from 1 species